CACUCCAUGAAGGUGUGACUUUAUAGCAUGUUAGAGUUCUGAUGGCAGUUAGCGCUGACGAAGAGAUUGAAGUUCUGUCCUUAUGGUUGGAAAUAACUGCUUGCUACUUGCUCUUCACAGAUUUUCCCGGUGGUGAGUCUCCGGCAUUCAAAGGUUCUGUUAGUGCCAUACUUGUUGGUUUACAGAGAUGGUGUGUCUGGCUGAGACCAAAGGAGCCAUGCCAGGAAAGUUAAAGCGUAUCUUCAUUUUUAAGUCCAGGCUAAAGUAAGGUCUGAGGAAAAGAAUGAGCUGCAUGAGAAAGAUAGGAACAGAUCAUCAAAUCUGAUUGUCCGGGCCAGUGUUGCAUCAUAACAGGCCACUUUAAAAUGAAGUGAAAUUGACAAUUGUGAAUUUAACCUUCCUUGAUUACUACAUUGUUAACUCUAGGAACUAGUAUCUGGUCCUUACUACAUUGUUAACUUGUAGACCUGUGUUUAUGUCUAGCAAUAAAUGCUCUUUAUGCUA
ensembl:processed_transcript